rnacentral:ncRNA from 2 species
AGAUAAUAAUAAAGUAUGGGUUUGAUCAAGAACUAUUUUGAUUAAUUAAAAGGGAAUCAGGUGAAAUUCCUGAACUAUCCCGUAGCUGUAUUAGAGGAGUUUAAGUACUUUGGAUGCCACUUGGAAACAGGGAAGGCGUACUUAAAUGAUGAUUCUUAAGUCAGAAGACCUGCCUAUAUUUUGCACCAAUA